UACGUAGGGCGAGCGUUGUCCGGAUUUACUGGGCGUAAAGAGCGCGCAGGCGGUUGUUUAAGUCGAAUGUGAAAGCCCCCGGCUCAACUGGGGAGGGUCAUUCGAUACUGAUCGACUUGAAGGCAGGAGAGGGAAGUGGAAUUCCGGGUGUAGUGGUGAAAUGCGUAGAUAUCCGGAGGAACACCAGUGCGAAGGCGACUUCCUGGCCUGUUCUUGACGCUGAGGCGGCGAAAGCUGGGGGAGCAAACGGGG
rnacentral:rRNA from 1 species